rnacentral:rRNA from 1 species
UACGAAGGGGGCUAGCGUUGCUCGGAAUUACUGGGCGUAAAGGGCGCGUAGGCGGCUCACAGAGUCGGACGUGAAAUUCCUGGGCUUAACCUAGGGGCUGCGUUCGAUACCUGUGGACUAGAGUGGGGAAGAGGGUCGUGGAAUUCCCAGUGUAGAGGUGAAAUUCGUAGAUAUUGGGAAGAACACCGGUGGCGUAGGCGGCGACCUGGUCCUUUACUGACGCUGAGGCGCGAAAGCGUGGGGAGCAAACAGG